CUUCCUAUUAGCCAUUAGUCCAUACAGAUCAGAUGAUAUCUGUCAUAAAAUCAUAGAAUCAUUUGAGUUGGAAUGGACCCUUACAAGUCAUUAAGUCCAACUUUCUUGCAAUGAACAGGGACACCAACAUCUUCAUCAGGUGCUCAGAGCCCCGUCCAGCCUCACCUUGAGUGUCUACAGGGACAGGGCAGCCACCACCUCUCUAGGCAACCUGUGCCAGUGCUUCAACACCCCUAUUGUAAAAAUCGAUUUUAUGAUUGUAUGCUCUUCAGUGCCAAGAUCUGAAGGCAGGAGAUCCUUUUGAUUGGAAGCACUCAGUGCUGCCACGAAGGGAGAGGACAGCCAUGUACACCAGGCCUAGCCUGCAGAUUGCCUGAGCUGCUCCCUCUCAGCAGCUAUGAUAGGCAGGGCCUGCUUUCCUGCUGCCUUCUCAGGGCUGCAGGGGCCCAGAUGGAUGAGGCAAAGUAUACAGAAUUGGUUUAACCAUGGAAAAAAGCAUUGAAAUCAGAAAUCUCAAAGUUAUGGAAAAGAAAAAAUGAUGCUUGCAGCAUUGUACCUUGUAAUCAGAGGCUGAUUUGAUGAGGCUGGCAAGGGCCUUAGACUUCGGGUUCCCACUUGGACAUCAAGACAAAUGAGAGAGACCUUCAUGUCCUGCACAGACAGUCUUUGUCCUCAUGCAACAAAUUCCUGCUGCGUCUCAGACUUUAUUUCCCAUCUUAACAGGAAGCAGGGUUUCUUUGUGGAAGCCAAGGAGAUGUUUCUGUCCCUGAGACUUCUUUCAGAUUUGGACCUCAGGUGGGACUUUCCUGUGUCCCUUCCCGCUGACACUGCAUAAGAAACUGUUUCUGCUGCUGAAUGCAAGCAUCU
rnacentral:lncRNA from 1 species